rnacentral:tRNA from 1 species
GUGGAUGUAGCUCAGCAGCAGAGCGCCUGGUUGUGGUCCAGGAGGUGGCGGGGGCGGCACCCGUCUUCCACC